rnacentral:rRNA from 1 species
GCAUAUCCAUAGCGGAGGAAAAGAAACCAACAGGGAUUGCCCUAGUAACGGCGAGUGAAGCGGCAACAGCUCAAAUUUGAAAUCUGGCUCUCUUUGGGGGUCCGAGUUGUAAUUUGCAGAGGAUGCUUUGGCAUUGGCAGCGGUCUAAGUUCCUUGGAACAGGACAUCACAGAGGGUGAGAAUCCCGUACGUGGUCGCUUGCCUUUGCCGUGUAAAGCUCCUUCGACGAGUCGAGUUGUUUGGGAAUGCAGCUCUAAAUGGGAGGUAAAUUUCUUCUAAAGCUAAAUACUGGCCAGAGACCGAUAGCGCACAAGUAGAGUGAUCGAAAGAUGAAAAGUACUUUGGAAAGAGAGUCAAAAAGCACGUGAAAUUGUUGAAAGGGAAGCGCUUGCAGCCAGACUUGCCCGCAGUUGCUCACCUAGGCUUUCGCCUGGGGCACUCUUCUGCGGGCAGGCCAGCAUCAGUUUGGGCGGUUGGAUAAAGGCCUCUGUCACGUAUCAUCCUUCGGGAUGACCUUAUAGGGGAGGCGUAAUGCAACCAGCCCGGACUGAGGUCCGCGCAUCUGCUAGGAUGCUGGCGUAAUGGCUGUAAGCGGCCCGUCUUGAAACACGGACCAAGGAGUCUAACAUCUAUGCGAGUGUUUGGGUGUCAAGCCCGAGCGCGUAAUGAAAGUGAACGGAGGUGGGAACCUUUUAGGUGCACCAUCGACCGAUCCUGAUGUCUUCGGAUGGAUUUGAGUAAGAGCAUAGCUGUUGGGACCCGAAAGAUGGUGAACUAUGCUUGAAUAGGGUGAAGCCAGAGGAAACUCUGGUGGAGGCUCGCAGCGGUUCUGACGUGCAAAUCGAUCGUCAAAUUUGGGCAUAGGGGCGAAAGACUAAUCGAACCAUCUAGUAGCUGGUCCUGCCG